rnacentral:rRNA from 1 species
UACAGAGGGGGCAAGCGUUAUUCGGAAUUAUUGGGCGUAAAGGGCGCGUAGGUGGCUUGGCAAGUGGAUGGUGAAAUCCCUCGGCUUAACCGAGGAACUGCCGUCCAAACUGCUUGGCUUGAGACCGGGAGAGGUGAGUGGAAUUCCCAGUGUAGUGGUGAAAUGCGUAGAUAUCGGGAGGAACACCAGUGGCGAAAGCGGCCGGCUGGGCCUGUCCUGACGCUGAGACGCGAAAGCGUGGGGAGCGAACAGG